CUGCUGCCUUCCGUAGGAGCCUGGGCCGUGUCUCAGUCCCAAUGUGGCCGUUCAACCUCUCAGUCCGGCUACCGAUCGUUGACUAGGUGGGCCGUUACCCCGCCUACUAUCUAAUCGGCCGCGAGCCCAUCUUUCAGCAGAUUUCUCUUUUGGUUGUAAAUGGAUGCCCUUUUACAACGUUAUGCGGUAUUAGCAGUCGUUUCCAACUGUUAUCCCCCUCUGAAAGGUAGGUUGCUCACGUGUUACUCACCCGUCCGCCACUAAACCAUA
rnacentral:rRNA from 1 species